rnacentral:rRNA from 1 species
GACGAACGCUGGCGGCGUGCUUAACACAUGCAAGUCGAACGGAAAGGCCCUGCUUGCAGGGUACUCGAGUGGCGAACGGGUGAGUAACACGUGGGUGAUCUGCCCUGCACUUCGGGAUAAGCCUGGGAAACUGGGUCUAAUACCGGAUAGGAGCCAUUUUUAGUGUGAUGGUUGGAAAGUUUUUUCGGUGUAGGAUGAGCUCGCGGCCUAUCAGCUUGUUGGUGGGGUAAUGGCCUACCAAGGCGGCGACGGGUAGCCGGCCUGAGAGGGUGGACGGCCACAUUGGGACUGAGAUACGGCCCAGACUCCUACGGGAGGCAGCAGUGGGGAAGAUUGCACGAUGGGCGCAAGCCUGAUGCAGCGACGCCGCGGGGGGGAUGACGGCCUUCGGGUUGUAAACUCCUUUCGCUAGGGACGAAGCUUUUUGUGACGGUACCUAGAUAAGAAGCACCGGCUAACUACGUG